rnacentral:rRNA from 1 species
AUUGAACGCUGGCGGCAGGCCUAACACAUGCAAGUCGAGCGAGCGGCGGACGGGUGAGUAAUGUCUGGGAAACUGCCUGAUGGAGGGGGAUAACUACUGGAAACGGUAGCUAAUACCGCAUACCAUCAGAUGUGCCCAGAUGGGAUUAGCUAGUUGGGGGGGUAAAGGCCUACCAAGGCGACGAUCUGUAGCGGGUCUGAGAGGAUGGUCCGCCACACUGGGACUGAGGACAGGCUCAGAAUCCUACGGGGAGCAGCAGUGGGGAAUAUUGGACGAUGGUGGGAACCCUGAUCCAGCAAUGCGGGGUGUGUGAAGAAGGCCUUAUGGUUGUAAAGCACUUUAAGCGAGGAGGCGUUACUCGCAGAAUAAGCACCGGCUAACUCUGUGCCAGCAGCCGCGGUAAUAC